rnacentral:lncRNA from 1 species
CAAUGAAUGUUUCACUUUCAAUUGCUUUGCAGAAAGUUGUUGAGAACAAAAAAGCUGCUAUUUUGGCUUUUGAUGAGGGUGUGGAGCAACCAGAAGUGGAUGAUUCUACUGGAUUGUUGUUAAAAUUGAAGAGUUUUUGUGUUAAGAUGGAUUCUAGAAGUUUCUGGAACUUUCUGACGGCGAAGAAGAAGGAUUUGGAUUCGCUUAGGGUUGAAAUCCCGAAAGCGUUGGGGGAAUGUGUGGAUCCGCCUAGGUUUGUGUUGGAAUCGAUAUCGGAAGUGUUUCCGGAGGAUAAGAGGGAAGAGAGGAAUGAAAGGAACAAUGAUUUGGGAUGGGCUUGUGUUUUGAUGUUGGAAUCGUUGAUUCCGGUGAUGAUGGAUCCUGUUUUGGGGAAUGAGAGGAAAUUGGUGACUCCAAGUGUGAAGGAUAAGGC